UACGGAGGGGACUAGCGUUGUUCGGAAUUACUGGGCGUAAAGCGCACGUAGGCGGAUUUGUAAGUCAGGGGUGAAAUCCCGGGGCUCAACCUCGGAACUGCCUUUGAUACUGGGGAUCUCGAGUCCGGAAGAGGUGAGUGGAACUGCGAGUGUAGAGGUGAAAUUCGUAGAUAUUCGCAAGAACACCAGUGGCGAAGGCGGCUCACUGGUCCGGUACUGACGCUGAGGUGCGAAAGCGUGGGGAGCAAACAGG
rnacentral:rRNA from 1 species